rnacentral:rRNA from 1 species
GAUGAACGCUGGCGGCGUGCCUAAUACAUGCAGGUCGAGCGAACAGACGAGGAGCUUGCUCCUCUGACGUUAGCGGCGGACGGGUGAGUAACACGUGGAUAACCUACCUAUAAGACUGGGAUAACUUCGGGAAACCGGAGCUAAUACCGGAUAAUAUAUUGAACCGCAUGGUUCAAUAGUGAAAGACGGUUUUGCUGUCACUUAUAGAUGGAUCCGCGCCGCAUUAGCUAGUUGGUAAGGUAACGGCUUACCAAGGCAACGAUGCGUAGCCGACCUGAGAGGGUGAUCGGCCACACUGGAACUGAGACACGGUCCAGACUCCUACGGGAGGCAGCAGUAGGGAAUCUUCCGCAAUGGGCGAAAGCUUGACGGAGCAACGCCGCGUGAGUGAUGAAGGUCUUCGGAUCGUAAAACUCUGUUAUUAGGGAAGAACAAAUGUGGAAGUAACUAUGCACGUCUUGACGGUACCUAAUCAGAAAGCCACGGCUAACUACGUG